UCAAGCUAUGAAAAUUGUGCUUGCAUUGCAAAUUGUCAGUAAUAAAAUAACGAUUUGAGAAUGAAGGAUACAAAUCUGCUAAUUUCAGACACUAAAUUGCAAAGAAACGCUAAGUUUGUUAAAAAUGCUUUUAUAGAUUCAGCGUCCAUUUCGAGAGCAAAACAUUUUUCGUUUGAUUCUAUUGACUACGAAGAUGUUGAGCGGCAUGAUCAAUUUUACAGAGAUCACAAGCUUCUAUUGAUAUUGUUUCGAGUACUUGCUGUUAUGCCUAUACUACGAUCGUCACCGGGCUGCAUGACUUUCUCCUGGAAAUCAUCUGCGACAAUUUAUGCUUUUAUUUUUUGGAUUUUCAUGACCAUUGUUGUUUUAAUCGUCGGCAAAGAAAGGAUCCAAAUUCUUUAUACUACAAAACAGUUCGAUGAAUAUAUAUAUGCCGUAAUAUUUGUAAUUUAUUUGAUACCCCACUUCUGGAUUCCUUUCGUUGGAUGGGGCGUAGCUGCAGAAGUUGCUGAAUAUAAAUCUUCUUGGGGAACAUUUCAGCUCAUAUUUUAUCGAGUAACUGGCACAUCUUUGCAAUUUCCUCGUCUAAAAUCUACAAUCGUCGUUGUAUCAAUUGGAUGUUUACUUUGUGCAUUUCUUUUUUUGUUUGCUUUGUCGUUCUUCUUAGAAGGCUAUCCACUUUGGCACACGCUAGCUUAUUACCACAUUAUAAUUACGAUUAACAUGAAUUGCGCUUUAUGGUACAUAAAUUCUAGAGCAAUUAAGACCGCCUCGACAAGUUUAACAGCCUGCUUCAAAAAGGAAGUUCUCUCCAGCUAUUCCGCAAACGUAAUUUCAAAAUAUCGAAUGCUUUGGCUCAAUCUAAGUGAACUACUGCAGUCAUUGGGGAACGCGUAUGCAAGAACAUAUUCUACCUAUUGCAUAUUUAUGUUUGUUAAUAUAGUAAUAGCGGUUUAUGGAGCUUUUGCUGAGAUUUUCGACCAUACGGAAUCUCCCACUGACUCGUAUAAGGAGAUCGGUUUGAUAGUUGAUGGGCUGUACUGUUCAACACUUCUAUUUAUUUUUUGUGAUUGCUCACACAACGCUACCCUCGGAGUAGCAAAAGGCAUUCAAAAAGUAUUGCUCGAGAUCGAUGUGCGCCAGAUUGACAGGAAGGCGAAGAGUGAAAUCGAUAUUUUCAUUUUUGCAAUUGAAAUGAACCCAGCCAUCGUAAGUUUGAAGGGAUAUGUCAACGUUAACCGCGAACUUUUGACUUCGUUUAUUUCAACUGUAACGGUAUACUUGCUUGUCUUAAUACAGUUCAAGUUCACAUUAAACUAAGUCCAUUAACAUUGCAAAUUACUGGAAUAGGAGGUCAAUAACAAUCGCCGAAUAGUGCGAUAACUGCUUAAACAUUUUUGGCUGAGUUUAACAACGCGUACCAGUUGUUUCUUUCUUGUGCUAACCGGCGCCAGUUGGACACACCAAACGAAGCGACCUCCAACGCAAAGGAGGUCUUGAUCUUAUCCUCCUAUCACCGCGAGAAGCCUCAUCAAAUACUUGCACAGCCAAAACAACUUUGAACUGGAUGUCGUGGACUUUUAUGGCUAAUGCAGUUUUUAUAAAGCAAUGAAUUAUUCACUAAUGCUGUACUCGCUAAGCGAAAACUUUUUAUCUGAAAGCAGUAAGGAAGCAAGCGAGUUCAAGCCGCUUUCUUUAUAGCCGUUUAGUUCCCAAGCGAUAUGCUUGGACCAGUGCUUCUAAGUAUUAGGCAGGAUAUUUUUUAUUAUAUUUUGCAUACAUACAAGCGAGAUGCUUUGAAAAGCAAUGGAAUGACACAACAGUUUGGGCAACAUGUUAUCAUCAAUCAGUUUUCAUACUUUCAGGCCGAAUGGUUUGAAAAGCAAUGGAAUUAUAUAACGAUUUGUCAAAACGAAAAAAAUGCAGUGCUGCCAAAUAGAUGCAACGUUGAAUUCAAUGGAAUUUGUUUGUUUUACUGACUACUCACUAGGUGGUUGGUGAAUCGAAAAAAGCUAUUAUUUAUUAGAAAUUAUUAAUAUUGACGAACCUAGUAACAACUGGGAAUUUCCAAUACCAGUCAGCCUAGUGCCUCAUCUCCCAAUAUGAAAACAAAAGUCAUCUCGCACAGGGGGAAUUUGUUAUUUUUCAUUUUCAUUUUAUACGUUUUACGUUUAUUUUCAAUCCUAUUUUAUCUAAAUUCUGUUUUAGUAUGUCUAUUCCUGUUUAAAAUAU